rnacentral:rRNA from 1 species
UACGUAGGUGGCGAGCGUUGUCCGGAUUUACUGGGCGUAAAGGGCGUGCAGGCGGUUUGUUAAGUGCAGGGUGAAAGCUCCCGGCUCAACUGGGAGAGGUCUUUGCAUACUGGCGAACUCGAGGGAGGCAGAGGAAAGUGGAAUUCCCGGUGUAGUGGUGAUAUGCGUAGAUAUCAGGAGGAACACCUGCGGUGUAGACGGCUUUCUGGACCAUUGCUGACGCUGAGACACGAAAGCGUGGGUAGCAAACAGG